CAAUAGCGUAUAUUAAAGUUGUUGCAGUUAAAAAGCUCGUAGUUGGAUUUCUGGUUGAAGCGACCGGUCGGGCGUUGAUUCGUCUGCACUGGAGUCGGUUUUGGCCAUCCUCUAGGGAAGUGCGUCUGGUAUUAAGUUAUCGGGCGUAUGAUCCUGGUCUUUUACUGUGAAAAAAUUAGAGUGUUUAAAGCAGGCCUUCGCCUUGAAUACAUUAGCAUGGAAUAAUAAGAUAGGACUUUGGUCUAUUUUGUUGGUUUGCAGACCGAAGUAAUGAUUAAUAGGGAUAGUUGGGGGUAUUUAUAUUCCGAUGUCAGAGGUGAAAUUCUUAGAUUUUCGGAAGAUAAACUUAUGCGAAAGCAUUUACCAAGGAUGUUUNCAUUAA
rnacentral:rRNA from 1 species